UACGUAGGGUGCGAGCGUUGUCCGGAAUUAUUGGGCGUAAAGAGCUUGUAGGCGGUUUGUCGCGUCUGCUGUGAAAAUCCGGGGCUCAACCCCGGACUUGCAGUGGGUACGGGCAGACUAGAGUGUGGUAGGGGAGACUGGAAUUCCUGGUGUAGCGGUGGAAUGCGCAGAUAUCAGGAGGAACACCGAUGGCGAAGGCAGGUCUCUGGGCCAUUACUGACGCUGAGAAGCGAAAGCGUGGGGAGCGAACAGG
rnacentral:rRNA from 1 species